CUACGGGUCGCAGCAGUGAGGAAUAUUGCACAAUGGGGGGAACCCUGAUGCAGCAACGCCGCGUGGAGGAUGACGCAUUUCGGUGUGUAAACUCCUUUUAUAUGUCAAGAAAAUGACGGUAGCAUAUGAAUAAGCACCGGCUAACUCCGUGCCAGCAGCCGCGGUAAUACGGAGGGUGCAAGCGUUACUCGGAAUCACUGGGCGUAAAGGACGCGUAGGCGGGUUGGAAAGUCAGGUGUGAAAUCCUACAGCUUAACUGUAGAACUGCACUUGAAACUUCUAAUCUAGAGCAUGGGAGGGGGAGAUGGAAUUAGUGGUGUAGGGGUAAAGUCCGUAGAUAUCACUAGGAAUACCUAAAGCGAAGGCGAUCUCCUGGAACAUUACUGACGCUAAGGCGUGAAAGCGUGGGGAGCAAACAGGAUUAGAUACCCUCGUAGUC
rnacentral:rRNA from 1 species